UACAGAGGGGGGCAAGCGUUUAUUCGGAAUUAUUGGGCGUAAAGGGCGCGUAGGCGGUUCUUCAAGUCUCUCGUGAAAUCCCUCGGCUUAACUGAGGACGUGCGGGAGAUACUGAAGGGGCUUGAGUCCGGAAGAGGGGUGGUGGAAUUCCCAGUGUAGCGGUGAAAAUGCGUAGAUAUUGGGGAGGAACACCCGGUGGCGGAAGGCGGCCACCUGGGCCGGGAAACUGACGCUGAGGCGCGAAAGCGUGGGGAGCAAACAGG
rnacentral:rRNA from 1 species